rnacentral:tRNA from 1 species
GGGUGUGUAGCUCAUAUGGUAAAGCGCUCGCUUGCGAAGCGAGAGGCACAGGGUUUAAUUCCCUGUUUUCCA